AGCUUCGUGGUUGAGUGAUAAAGACACUUGCGUCUCGCCCAGGAGUCCCAGGUUCGAUCCCCGCUCGAGGAGCUA